CACGUAGGGUGCGAGCGUUGUCCGGAAUUAUUGGGCGUAAAGAGCUCGUAGGCGGUGUGUCGCGUCGGCCGUGAAAACCUGCAGCUUAACUGUGGGCUUGCGGUCGAUACGGGCAUCACUGGAGUUCGGCAGGGGAGACUGGAAUUCCUGGUGUAGCGGUGAAAUGCGCAGAUAUCAGGAGGAACACCGGUGGCGAAGGCGGGUCUCUGGGCCGAUACUGACGCUGAGGAGCGAAAGCGUGGGGAGCGAACAGGAUUAGAUACCCUGGUAGUCCACGCCGUAAACGUUGGGCGCUAGGUGUGGGGGCCAUUCCACGGUCUCUGUGCCGUAGCUAACGCAUUAAGCGCCCCGCCUGGGGAGUACGGCCGCAAGGCUAAA
rnacentral:rRNA from 1 species